rnacentral:rRNA from 1 species
GACAGAGGGGGCGAGCGUUGUCCGGCUUCACUGGGCGUAAAGCGCGCGCAGGCGGCAACCUAAGUGUCGUGUGAAAGCCCCCGGCUCAACCGGGGGAGGCCAUGGCAAACUGGGUCGCUCGAGCUGCGGAGAGGCCCCUCGAAUUGCCGGUGUAGCGGUGAAGUGCGUAGAGAUCGGCAGGAAGACCAAGGGGGAAGCCAGGGGGCUGGCCGCAGGCUGACGCUGAGGCGCGACAGCGUGGGGAGCAAACCGG